rnacentral:rRNA from 1 species
ACACUCCUGCGGGAGGCAGCAGUGGGGAAUUUUGGACAAUGGGCGAAAGCCUGAACCAGCAAUGCCGCGUGAGUGAAGAAGGCCUUCGGGUUGUAAAGCUCUUUUGUCAGGGAAGAAACGGUGAAAGCUAAUAUCUUUUGCUAAUGACGGUACCUGAAGAAUAAGCACCGGCUAACUACGUGCCAGCAGCCGCGGUAAUACGUAGGGUGCAAGCGUUAAUCGGAAUUACUGGGCGUAAAGCGUGCGCAGGCGGUUUUGUAAGUCUGAUGUGAAAUCCCCGGGCUCAACCUGGGAAUUGCAUUGGAGACUGCAAGGCUAGAAUCUGGCAGAGGGGGGUAGAAUUCCACGUGUAGCAGUGAAAUGCGUAGAUAUGUGGAGGAACACCGAUGGCGAAGGCAGCCCCCUGGGUCAAGAUUGACGCUCAUGCACGAAAGCGUGGGGAGCAAACAGGAUUAGAUACCCGGGUAGUCCCAUGAU